rnacentral:rRNA from 2 species
AAUCCAUAGGUUAAUGAGGCGAACCGGGGGAACUGAAACAUCUAAGUACCCCGAGGAAAAGAAAUCAACCGAGAUUCCCCCAGUAGCGGCGAGCGAACGGGGAGGAGCCCAGAGCCUGAAUCAGCAUGUGUGUUAGUGGAAGCGUCUGGAAAGGCGCGCGAUACAGGGUGACAGCCCCGUACACAAAAGCGCAUGUGCUGUGAGCUCGAUGAGUAGGGCGGGACACGUGGUAUCCUGUCUGAAUAUGGGGGGACCAUCCUCCAAGGCUAAAUACUCCUGACUGACCGAUAGUGAACCAGUACCGUGAGGGAAAGGCGAAAAGAACCCCGGCGAGGGGAGUGAAAAAGAACCUGAAACCGUGUACGUACAAGCAGUGGGAGCACCCUUUUGGGUGUGACUGCGUACCUUUUGUAUAAUGGGUCAGCGACUUAUAUUCUGUAGCAAGGUUAACCG